GAAUUUACGAAUGUCCUCAAUUGGAGUGUUUGCCAUCAGGGUUGCAACUCCUAACAAAUCUCCAAAGUCUAAGAAUCAUACGAUGCCCCCAAUUAGAGAAGCGAUGCGAGAAGGAGAAAGGCGAGGAUUGGCACUACAUAUCACGCAUCCCACGUAUUCAGAUUGGCGAGGCUGCCCCCAUUUAGGAUUGAGUGCGAUGGAGCCACACAUGGGCAUCUAAUACCAGAGACAAUUCAGGAGCUCAUGAUAAUCUAAGGCUAAUGCUACCUUGAAUGCUUGCAUGGUUGAAGUUACACUGCAAAUGAUCAGUUCAAAUCUAAGGAUUAGAGAUAUAUUUAAGGAUGAAAGUGGUUAUUGAAGGAGGGAAUUCUUGGCUAUUACAAAUGAUGUGGAGAUUUUCUUGGCCUUUGGAAAGUGCAUUCUUGCUUCGAAGCCGAGCUCUAUUUUGAAUGAGUUAAGCUGAUGAUAAACAAAAACAAUGCCAUGAUGUUGGUGAGCUACAUCAGGCAUCCAUCUCUCACUUCUCAUAUUAAAGGAACGGGCCAAAAGGAGGGAAGCGAUGACUGACUGAUGAUAGCAAGCAUCCCCACGAUGGAGAAUGACCAUAUAAAGAUCUUUCCACAUUGAGGAAAUAUCUCUCGACUUGCAUUAGGAAGUGGACACUUAGAAUGCCUAAGAUGAGAAACAACAAUAGCUGGUGAAUGCCAACACUCAAAGAAUCGAAGCAUCUAUGAACAAGCCUAUAGGAUAUCCUUGGUGACCAUCUAUCUUAUGGACCUGUCUUUGUGGAGCUUUCUUAUGUCCUUUGGGAAGUUGAGUACAUAGUCUAUGAUCCGUAGAUACUUUUGGAGAGCUAACAUAUCCAUAUCAAGUUGAAAGGCACACCAAUGGUACAAACCUUACCAUAUAAGUGGCGAUAAAUGCGAGUGGCGAGCUGCUGCUAGUUCACGAGAUUCUUCUGUUGGUUGUAAAUGGAGGGUUAGAGAGCACUGAUUGUUUUUCAGGCAACUGACUUGUCAAUGACAUUGAAUUUGUAAUCUUUCUUUUCCAUGGAGUUGAUGUUUACAAAUGUUAAAUUAAACCAAAUGCCAAUG